GACGAACGUUGGCGGCGUGCUUAAUUCAUGCAAGUCAACUGAAGCAGUGGUAGCAAUAUCGCUGUGGAGGUGGCGCACGGGUGAGUAACACGUAGGUAAUCUGCCUUCAGGUCUGGCAUAACUCCGGGAAACCGGGGCUAAUAGCAGAUGAUGCAGCGGCUCGACAUCGAGACAGUUGUUAAAGCUAUGGCGCCUGAAGAUGAGCCUGCGUCUGAUUAGCUAGUUGGCGGGGUAACGGCCCACCAAGGCAACGAUCAGUAGCUGGUCUGAGAGGAUGAUCAGCCACACUGGAACUGAGACACGGUCCAGACUCCUACGGGAGGCAGCAGUAAGGAAUAUUGCUCAAUGGGAGAAAUCCUGAAGCAGCAACGCCGCGUGAGGGACGAAGGGCUUUUGCUUGUAAACCUCUGUAGUGAGAGAAAAAAAUCCCAAUCUUUGGGACAUGAUGGUAUCUCAAAAGUAAGCCCCGGCUAACUACGUG
rnacentral:rRNA from 1 species